rnacentral:tRNA from 1 species
CCGCCUGGUGGCGUGGGACCUCGAGCACGGCGCGGCCGGUGUGCCGGUCGGGUUCGACCUGGCGCACCAGGCGUUCAACACGGCGCUGGUGGUC